GACGAACGCUGGCGGCGUGCUUAACACAUGCAAGUCGAACGGAAAGGCCCUGCUUUUGUGGGGUGCUCGAGUGGCGAACGGGUGAGUAACACGUGAGUAACCUGCCCUUGACUUUGGGAUAACUUCAGGAAACUGGGGCUAAAACCGGAUAGGAGCUCCUGCUGCAUGGUGGGGGUUGGAAAGUUUCGGCGGUUGGGGAUGGACUCGCGGCUUAUCAGCUUGUUGGUGGUGUAGUGGCUUACCAAGGCUUUGACGGGUAGCCGGCCUGAGAGGGUGACCGGCCACAUUGGGACUGAGAUACGGCCCAGACUCCUACGGGAGGCAGCAGUGGGGAAUAUUGCACAACGGGCGGAAGCCUGAUGCAGCAACGCCGCGUGCGGGAUGACGGCCUUCGGGUUGUAAACCGCUUUCGCCUGUGACGAAGCGUGAGUGACGGUAAUGGGUAAAGAAGCACCGGCUAACUACGUG
rnacentral:rRNA from 1 species